rnacentral:rRNA from 1 species
CUACGGGUGGCUCCAGUAGGGAAUAUUGGACAAUGGGCGAAAGCCUGAUCCAGCAACGCCGCGUGCGCGAUGACGGCCUUCGGGUUGUAAAGCGCUUUUAGAGGAGAUGAGAAAGGACAGUAUCCUCUGAAUAAGCCUCGGCGAACUACGUGCCAGCAGCCGCGGUAAAACGUAGGAGGCUAGCGUUAUCCGGAUUUAUUGGGCGUAAAGCGCGUGCAGGCGGUCUAGCAAGUUGGAUGUGAAAGCUCCUGGCUUAACUGGGAGAGGUCGUUCAAUACUGCUAGACUAGAGAAUGGGAGAGGGAGGUGGAAUUCCGGGUGUAGUGGUGAAAUGCGUAGAUAUCCGGAGGAACACCAGUGGCGAAAGCGGCCUCCUGGACCACUUCUGACGCUAAGACGCGAAAGCUAGGGUAGCAAACGGGAUUAGAUACCCCAGUAGUC